GAAAUGCGAUAAGUAAUGUGAAUUGCAGAAUUCAGUGAAUCAUCGAAUCUUUGAACGCACCUUGCGCCCUCUGGUAUUCCGGAGGGCAUGCCUGUUUGAGUGUCAUUAAAUUCUCAACUUCAAAAGCUUUUUGGCUUAUUGAAGCUUGGAUGUGGAGGCUUGCUGGCGUCUUAGACGUGUUUCCGGCUCCUCUUAAAUGCAUUAGUGGAGAACUCGUUUGGUUGGACCACCCUUGGUGUGAUAAUUAUCUACGCUUUGGGUUGGUUUAAUGGRCUCUGUUGAAUCGCUUUCAAGGCGCCUUGCGCGCUUUGGUUGGGGUGGUUGCAUCUAGUAUGCUCUACCUGUGGAUUCAACGAAGAGUGAGAGAUGUCUGCUUUCUAACUGUCCGCGUGUUCGGACAACUUAAUUGACUAUUUGACCUCAAAUCAGGUAGGACUACCCGCUGAACUUAA
rnacentral:rRNA from 1 species